rnacentral:tRNA from 1 species
GGAUAGUUGGCAGAGUGGGUUAAUGCACCGGACUUGAAAUCCGGCAACGUGAAAGCGUUCGUGGGUUCAAAUCCUACACUAUCCG